GCAGCUUUGCAACAGAAGAUUUAUUUUUGGGAGAUUUAGAGUUUUUGUAGCGUUGAAAGGUGAGAAGGUUGGUUAAAACAAUGGUAGGGACUGUUUGAGCAAAACUAUUAGUGGUAAUGAACAGUAUGUAUGAACUUCCAUGCCUUCCAUUACCCUUUAUCUUCAUUCAUUGCAGGUUUGUGUCUCAUCCUAGAGUACCUUCCUCCUGAUUUUGGGUGUCGAUGCUGCUGUUCUAAGUUGGAUCUCAAAAAUGGGCGCAUGUUUAAUAAUGUGAAGACGUUUCUUAUGUUUUUGAUGCUUAAUGUUAUUUUUUUUAUGGCCACUGCAGCUCACUAUGUUAACAGAAGAGCUUUUAGCAACUGCAAAGCAAGCUGAGAGUGCCCAGAACAUUGCAGGUUUAUCACCGCCGAGUUAUUCAGCUGGAGUGCAGUCAGAGGGACUGGAUGGCCUUUUUUACAGUGAUUGCUGUUGUUUCCUUCUGUUUGGAAAUAAGUCAUCAUUUUGUCCAGGUUGCACGUACAAGGAGGUGCGGUUUUGCUCCACCUUGGAGCACUGCUGCUGCAGAGACUGAGCCCACUGAAUUUAUCCUGGAAACAUUGGAACAAAGUGAUCAACGAUCAUUAAUACAAUAUCUUGCUUACCAAGAUUUGUGCGUGGAACCUUGGCACUAAGGGGCCUUCUUUGAGGAGUCCGGUGAAACUUAUAAAAGAAUUGUGACAGCUUGUUUGAAGCCACUUGAGGAGUUUACCUCAAAUAUUGCUGAAGCCCUUGAAGGUUAUAAGCCAGAAUUGUCACAACAGUCCAACCUCUUCAGUGCAUUUGAUGAUUCUCAGACUUAUUUGAAGUGAAGCAUUUGGGUAUGCAAAGGAAAGCUUAUGCCAUGGUGGAUGUUCUUCGAACUUGAGUUUAUCAGAUAGUUCCAGCAUUCAUUGACGACCUGCGAGCAAAUGCAAAACCAGCAAGCAGUUUGGAGAAGAACUGGAUAGG